GCUGACUAUGACUCAGGAACACAUGGGCCCACAUCCACACUCACAGGAUCCUGGCUUCCUCAGGACCCCCUGGAGGACUCUGGAGGUGCCGUUGGGGGCCACGUCCACAUCAGAAGGGACUACUCAGAACCACAGGGACCCACUGUGAAGUUUUUGGAAGAUUUGUGGUCACAUCUAUGCGGACAGGAGCCCCCAGCCUCCUCAGGUCUUAUGGUGAGGCUGAGGAAAAUGUGGGGCCACGUCAAUCCUGACAGGACCUGGACUUUGACUUCUGGAAAUAUGGGGCUGUGCCUAUGCUGACAGGAGCCCACAGCCUCCUCAGGAUGCGCCGUGAGUUUUCUGGGGGAUGUGGGGCCAUGUCCAGGCUGACAGGAGCCCCCGGCCACCUGAGGACCUGCUUGAGGCUUCCAGAGGAUGUGAGGCAUAGUCCACAGUGACAGGAGACCCAGCAUCCUCAGGACCCGCUGACUAUGACUCAGGAACACGUGGGGCCACGUCCACACUCACAGGAGCCCUGCUUCCUCAGGACCCCCUGGAGGACUCUGGAGGCUCCUUUGGGGGCCACGUCCACAUCAGAAGGGACUCCUCAGAACCACAGGGUAAGUGAAUGGGUAGAAUGAAUGGUAGGGUCAGGGGAGGGGAGGCAGUUGGUGGUUAGGCUUAGGUUAGAUGUUAGGUGUUUGUGAUUAAGCUUAUGGUUAUGGAUUAGAGGUUAGGGUGAGGGAUAAGGGUAAGGGUC
rnacentral:lncRNA from 12 species